UUAAGAUUGAGCUGUGAUGGGGAAGCACUUUCGAGUGCGAAGUACCUGAUGUCACACUGCCAAGAAAAUCUUCUAGCGUUUAAUUAUAACCUACCCGUACCGCAAACCGACACAGGUAGUCGAGGCGAGUAGCCUCAGGUGAGCGAGAGAACUCUCGUUAAGGAACUCGGCAAAAUGACCCCGUAACUUCGGGAGAAGGGGUGCUCUACAUUUGUAGAGCCGCAGUGAAUAGGCCCAAGCGACUGUUUAUCAAAAACACAGCUCUCUGCUAAAUCGUAAGAUGAUGUAUAGGGGGUGACGCCUGCCCGGUGCUGGAAGGUUAAGAGGAGUGCUUAGCGUAAGCGAAGGUAUGAAUUGAAGCCCCAGUAAACGGCGGCCGUAACAAUAACGGUCCUAAGGUAGCGAAAUUCCUUGUCGGGUAAGUUCCGACCCGCACGAAAGGCGUAACGAUUUGGGCACUGUCUCAACGAGAGACUCGGUGAAAUUUUAGUACCUGUGAAGAUGCAGGUUACCCGCGACAGGACGGAAAGACCCCAUGGAGCUUUACUGCAAGUUGAUAUUGAGUAUCUGUUGCACAUGUACAGGAUAGGUAGGAGCCAUUGAUCUGAGGACGCUAGUUUUCAGUGAGGCGAUGUUGGGAUACUACCCUUGUGUCAUGGCUACUCUAACCCGCAUGCCUAAUCGGCAUGGGAGACAGUGUCUGCUGGGCAGUUUGACUGGGGCGGUCGCCUCCUAAAGAGUAACGGAGGCGCUCAAAGUUUCCCUCAGCAUGGUUGGAAAUCAUGCGUAGAGUGUAAAGGUAUAAGGGAGAUUGACUGCGAGACUUACAAGUCGAGCAGGUACGAAAGUAGGACUUAGUGAUCCGGUGGUACCGCAUGGAAGGGCCAUCGCUCAACGGAUAAAAGCUACCCUGGGGAUAACAGGCUUAUCUCCCCCAAGAGUUCACAUCGACGGGGAGGUUUGGCACCUCGAUGUCGGCUCGUCGCAUCCUGGGGCUGUAGUCGGUCCCAAGGGUUGGGCUGUUCGCCCAUUAAAGCGGCACGCGAGCUGGGUUCAGAACGUCGUGAGACAGUUCGGUCCCUAUCCGUCGCGGGCGUAGGAAAUUUGAGAGGAUCUGCCCUUAGUACGAGAGGACCGGGGUGGACUUACCGCUGGUGUACCAGUUGUCUUGCCAAAGGCAUCGCUGGGUAGCUAUGUAGGGAACGGAUAAACGCCGAAAGCAUCUAAGUGUGAAACCAACCUCAAGAUGAGAUUUCCCAUUCUUUAUGAAUUAAGAGCCCUGAGAGAUGAUCAGGUAGAUAGGCUAGAAGUGGAAGGACAGUGAUGUUUGGAGCGGACUAGUACUAAUAGCUCGAGGACUUUACCG
rnacentral:rRNA from 1 species